UUCGCAAUGCCCGAAAGGGUGACGAAGCGACGCCGCGUGAGUGAGGAAGGCCUUCGGGUUGUAAAGCUCUGUCAGGAGUUAAGAAAUGUAAGUGUGUUAAUACCACAUUUAUUUGACGAAGGCUCCAAAGGAAGCCACGGCUAACUCUGUGCCAGCAGCCGCGGUAAUACAGAGGUGGCAAGCGUUGUUCGGAAUUAUUGGGCGUAAAGAGCACGUAGGUGGGUUUGUAAGUCAGAUGUGAAAGCCUUCUGUUCAACGGAAGAAUUGCAUCUGAAACUGCGAGUCUUGAGUGUAGGAGGGGAGAAUGGAACUUCUGGUGGAGCGGUGAAAUGCGUAGAUAUCAGAAGGAACGCCGGCGGCGAAAGCGAUUCUCUGGCCUAUUACUGACACUCAGUGUGCGAAAGCUAGGGGAGCAAACGGGAUUAGAUACCCCGGUAGUCCUAGCCGUAAACGAUGGGCACUAAGUAGAGGGGUUUU
rnacentral:rRNA from 1 species